AUCACUUCUCGACCUUUUGGCUAAGAUCAAGUGUAGUAUCUGUUCUUAUCAGUCAAAACACACACACACACACACACACACACACACACACACACACACACACACACAGAAAGGAAAAACCACCAAAAGACAGUAUUAGAAGAUAAUGCUUGGUUGUUAAAAAUAGUUAUGAUUAAUUACCUUCA